rnacentral:rRNA from 1 species
AUUGAACGCUGGCGGCAUGCUUUACACAUGCAAGUCGAACGGUAUCAGGGUGCUUGCACCGCUGACGAGUGGCGAACGGGUGAGUAAUGCGUCGGAACGUGCCGAGUAGUGGGGGAUAACGCAGCGAAAGUUGUGCUAAUACCGCAUACGUACUGAGGUAGAAAGUGGGGGACCUUCGGGCCUCACGCUAUUCGAGCGGCCGACGUCUGAUUAGCUAGUAGGUGAGGUAAAGGCUCACCUAGGAGACGAUCAGUAGCGGGUCUGAGAGGAUGAUCCGCCAAACUGGGACUGAGACACGGCCCAGACUCCUACGGGAGGCAGCAGUGGGGAAUUUUGGACAAUGGGCGAAAGCCUGAUCCAGCCAUGCCGCGUGUCUGAAGAAGGCCUUCGGGUUGUAAAGGACUUUUGUCAGGGAGGAAAUCCCUAGUGCUAAUAACACUGGGGGAUGACAGUACCUGAAGAAUAAGCACCGGCUAACUACGUGCCAGCAGCCGCCGUAA